AGAGGGUGCAAGCGUUAAUCGGAUUUACUGGGCGUAAAGCGUGUGUAGGUGGCUACCUAAGUCGAUUGUGAAAUCCCUGGGCUCAACCUGGGAAUUGCAGUCGAUACUGGGCAGCUCGAGUUCGGUAGAGGGUGACGGAAUUCCCGGUGUAGCGGUGAAAUGCGUAGAUAUCGGGAGGAACAUCGAUGGCGAAGGCAAUCACCUGGGCCUGAACUGACACUGAGACACGAAAGCGUGGGGAUCAAACAGGAUUAGAUACCCUGGUAGUCCACGCCGUAAACGAUGGGUACUUGACGUCGGCACGCUCUGCGUGUCGGUGUCGAAGCUAACGCGCUAAGUACCCCGCCUGGGGAGUACGGCCGCAAGGUUG
rnacentral:rRNA from 1 species